AUUGAACGCUGGCGGCAGGCCUAACACAUGCAAGUCGAACGAGUGGCGGACGGGUGAGUAAUGUCUGGGAAACUGCCUGAUGGAGGGGGAUAACUACUGGAAACGGUAGCUAAUACCGCAUACCAUCAGAUGUGCCCAGAUGGGAUUAGCUUGUUGGUGGGGUAACGGCUCACCAAGGCGACGAUCCCUAGCUGGUCUGAGAGGAUGACCAGCCAGACUGGAACGGAGACACGGUCGAGACUCCGGCGGGAGGUAGCAGGGGGAAAUAUUGCACAAUGGGCGCAAGCCUGAUGCAGCCAUGCGGCGUGUAUGAAGAAGGCCUGAGGGUUGUAAAGUGAUGUAAGCUGGGAGGCGUUACCCGAAGAAGAAGCACCGGCUAACUCCGUGCCAGCAGCCGCGGUAAUUC
rnacentral:rRNA from 1 species